AUAUCAGGUCUUUGGGGAAGCCAGGUUACUGCUGUGGAGAGGAACGAUGGAAGGCUUACCUUGCUCUGUGUGUCUUCAGCUUUGAGGAAGGCGGCAGGAGAAAGUGUGGCCAGUACUGGCCUUUAGAAAAAGACUCUCGGAUCCGAUUUGGCUUCCUCACAGUGACCAAUCUAGGCGUGGAGAACAUGAAUCAUUAUAAGAAAACAACGCUAGAAAUUCACAACACAGAGGAACGGCAGAAACGCCAGGUGACCCACUUCCAGUUCUUGAGCUGGCCAGACUAUGGUGUCCCUUCCUCAGCAGCUUCCCUCAUUGACUUCUUGAGAGUGGUCAGAAACCAGCAGAGUCUGGCUGUGAGCAACAUGGGAGCACGCUCCAAAGGGCAGUGCCCUGAGCCACCCAUUGUGGUCCAUUGCAGUGCAGGCAUUGGCAGGACAGGUACCUUCUGCUCACUGGACAUCUGCCUGGCACAGCUGGAGGAGCUUGGCACCCUUAAUGUGUUCCAGACGGUGUCACGCAUGAGGACCCAGAGGGCCUUCAGCAUCCAGACCCCUGAGCAGU
rnacentral:sRNA from 1 species